rnacentral:rRNA from 1 species
GGGGAACGCUUCCGGAUUUAUUGGGUUUAAGGGUCCGUAGGCGGAUCUGUAAGUCAGUGGUGAAAUCUCACAGCUUAACUGUGAAACUGCCAUUGAUACUGCAGGUCUUGAGUGUUGUUGAAGUAGCUGGAAUAAGUAGUGUAGCGGUGAAAUGCAUAGAUAUUACUUAGAACACCAAUUGCGAAGGCAGGUUACUAAGCAACAACUGACGCUGAUGGACGAAAGCGUGGGGAGCGAACAGGAUUAGAUACCCUGGUAGUCCACGCCGUAAACGAUGCUAACUCGUUUUUGGAAUGUAAGUUUCAGAGACUAAGCGAAAGUGAUAAGUUAGCCACCUGGGGAGUACGAACGCAAGUUUGAAACUCAAAGGAAUUGACGGGGGCCCGCACAAGCGGUGGAUUAUGUGGUUUAAUUCGAUGAUACGCGAGGAACCUUACCAAGGCUUAAAUGGGAAAUGACAGGUUUAGAAAUAGACUUUUCUUCGGACAUUUUUCAAGGUGCUGCAUGGUUGUCGUCAGCUCGUGCCGUGAGGUGUUAGGUUAAGUCCUGCAACGAGCGCAACCCCUGUCACUAGUUGCCAUCAUUAAGUUGGGGACUCUAGUGAGACUGCCUACGCAAGUAGAGAGGAAGGUGGGGAUGACGUCAAAUCAUCACGGCCCUUACGCCUUGGGCCACACACGUAAUACAAUGGCCGGUACAGAGGGCAGCUACACUGCGAAGUGAUGCAAAUCUCGAAAGCCGGUCUCAGUUCGGAUUGGAGUCUGCAACUCGACUCUAUGAAGCUGGAAUCGCUAGUAAUCGCGCAUCAGCCAUGGCGCGGUGAAUACGUUCCCGGGCCUUGCACCCCCCCGCCCCGUAA